rnacentral:misc_RNA from 1 species
GUCGCUACAUUGUUUACAUCGCUGACAUAGCUGGCGAGUCUCAUGACUCUUUUGAUUGACGACUUGCCAUUUACAUAAAAAUAAUCUACAUCAUUACGUGCAAUAAUAUUAACAGCUUUUCAUUUUCGGAGAGGUUGUACCAGCGAUUUUUGUUCCUUUUAAAUUCCAAUGGUGUAACUGUCUACCGCAGUGUUUGCUGCUGCUGCCAAGAUGUUUCUAGAUGCACAGCAGAGAUAAGCCAUGUCGGACACACAGACCUCAACUCUGCCAUUCAACACAUCGCUUCCACUGUUGGGAGUUGGCAUGCUGACUUUGCUUCUUAGCUUUUGUUUCUGCUGUUACCUUUGGCGGCUUAAACGACAGUCUGCAGAAGAGCGUGGUUACAGCCAGUUGAAGUAUUCACCUCAGAGCAAAAAGCUGAAAAAUGAUGUGUGUCCUGUAUGCCUAGACGAGUUUCAUGAUGAGGAGAAGAUUGCUUUGUGCCCUUGUCGCCAUGGCUUCCAUACAAAAUGUUUACAACAGUGGCUUGAUCAGCACAACACCUGUCCAAUGUGCAAGACAAAGGUUAUGUCCCUUCCUGGUGAAAGGACUGGCCUUAUGUAUGCAGCAGCAAACUCCACCAGUGCUGUCUGAGAUGUAGGUCAUGGGUGCUGUUCUUUCCACGUCCCUGACAAAGCCAUGGUAGUUGGGGGGCGAUUCAUCUGCUACAACUGUUGAUGCCUUGCACACGUAUCUCACUCCAGUGUGUUUAUGGAUUCACAUAGUCAAGACAUAAAAGCAAACAGUAUAAACUCCUUGCACAUCACAUUGCCACCAACCAGCAUAUACAAGAUAUGGAAAGAAUAGCAACUUCAUGCAGGUAGAUGCCAGUCCGACAUAUACAGUACCCCUAUUAUUUGUAUCAUUAGGAAAAUCUUUCGUAUUGCGUUUAAAGUUUUGUAUUUAGGGCUGUUAAUUAUCUGCAAAAAACAUGAACCUGAUGACUGUGCUUGAAGUAUUAAGAGUAUAGUUUAUGUAAUUGCUUUAAAUUCAUCUUACAGCAGUAUUUAUUGGCCAAGAUGGUAUGGUGUUUGCAUUUAAAUGUGAAAGUAAGAGCAUGCAGGGUUGUUUUUUUUUUAAUAUGCUUUCAAGAGGCCAGACCUUUGUGAUUUUCAGAUGCUAUUCAGACUGAAAUGCCAUCCUGCAGAGUAUAAUGCAGGUGGUGAUUAUUUCAGCGGAUAUUUUACCACUUUUGUUUUGAAGUGUCAGGGAGACCUGCAUUUACUCUCAACUGUUGUCUUCCUAUCCAACAAGUGAUUCAUAAAUGCAUGACAGUUCCUUGAAAGCCACCAUUUUCUUCCCUUGCCAAAAGUUAGGUCACAAACAAUGCUUUUAUAUUGUUCAUUUUAUGUUUGUGGUAAACUGGGUCUUUUCGGCCUUUAAUUUAAAUAUCGUAGUGCAAUUUGAUUUUGUUACAGUAAUAUUUUUAAAGAGAGAAGGGGUGUAAGGUGGUGGUUUCCAAGACUUGCUUAAUCUAUAACAGAAGAUCUUUGAACUAAUUGUUGUGUUUUGUUUUUUUUAAAAACAAGAAAUGCAGGUGUAUAUCAUGAAGGUAAGUAGCAGUAUGUGCAAUUACGGUUUGUUGGAAGUGACCUGAUGGUGGAAUGUACUGGUUGCCGUCAUAUCAGUUUAUCUGCAAAAUAUCAUGUACAGUUUUGUUUGAUACACCAAGGAAAAAAUAUGUUCUACAUGUCUGUAAGUCUGUGUGUGCAUGGAUGUAUGCUUAUGCGCUUGCUAAGGUAUGAGGUGCAUGAACUUUUACUAAGGAAAUUAUGAAAAUAACAGCAUUUUAUAAUACUGAUAAGAUAAACAGCUUGUAUUGUAAUUGCCUUACAAUCUUCUCAAUAAACCAGAAAAAAGCAGGAUUGUCAAUUGAAUAAAUUCUUUAGCAGACUAAGUAUGCUUGUGCUAUUGGCCAUUUUAAAAAGAACCUUAAAGAGAAUGGAUUCUGUGCACUAUUCUACUACCCUAACACUUCAGGUUAAUUUUUUUCAGUUGCAAACUACAACUUUUAUAUAAUUUUGCCCAUAACUGGUAUUUUGGCGAAAUGCUCUGUUGACAAGAAAGUAAACAGGUUUUCAAUUGUU